GACGCGAUGCCGGAGUGGUUAACGGGACAGACUAGAAAUCUGUUGGGCUCUGCCCGCGCAGGUUCGAAUCCUGCUCGCGUCG